UCAUCGUAGCUUAACUCAUAAAAAGCAUAACACUGAAAAUGUUAACAUGGACAAUAAGUCCCGAAUGACA
rnacentral:tRNA from 1 species